AUUGAACGCUGGCGGCAUGCCUUACACAUGCAAGUCGAACGGCAGCACGGGCUUCGGUCUGGUGGCGAGUGGCGAACGGGUGAGUAAUGUAUCGGAACGUACCUUAGAGUGGGGGAUAACGUAGCGAAAGUUACGCUAAUACCGCAUAUUCUGUGCGCAGGAAAGCAGGGGAUCGCAAGACCUUGUGCUCUUUGAGCGGCCGAUAUCAGAUUAGCUAGUUGGUGAGGUAAAAGCUCACCAAGGCGACGAUCUGUAGCGGGUCUGAGAGGAUGAUCCGCCACACUGGAACUGAGACACGGUCCAGACUCCUACGGGAGGCAGCAGUGGGGAAUUUUGGACAAUGGGGGCAACCCUGAUCCAGCCAUGCCGCGUGAGUGAAGAAGGCCUUCGGGUUGUAAAGCUCUUUCAGCCGGGAAGAAAUCGCAUAGGUUAAUACCCUGUGCGGAUGACGGUACCGGAAUAAGAAGCACCGGCUAACUACGUGCCAGCAGCCGCGGUAAUAC
rnacentral:rRNA from 1 species